rnacentral:piRNA from 1 species
UGGUGGUUAGACCAGUUGCCGAGCUGGGA